UGCAUUCAAUACUGUAAGUAGCUCUGUAUAAGAGCGUCUGCUAAAUGACUCAAA
rfam:Salmo salar isolate Sally breed double haploid chromosome ssa05, whole genome shotgun sequence.